GGAGGAGUAAGUUAGGCUUUAAAAUAAUAACAUGAUUCGAGUUGAUUUGUGUAUUCAGGAGGUUUAUAACUGCACAAUUGUGGAUUAGUGUUCCUACGAUAUCCUUAGUGUGCAAGAUUAGUACCUAUCGAUGCAAACUUAACCGAAGAUGACUUGUAUCCUAGAAUGAGUAACCAUUAAUGUGUCUGUGUUUUGUUUUGU
rnacentral:lncRNA from 1 species